CUGAUAGUUUUCAACACUGAGUCACUGUUGCUAUGUGGAACGGUUCGCUGCUUUCCCCCGACUCCAACAUCUGUCACCUUUUCGGUUCAGUAGCUAUGGGCUUGGCCGCCUCUUCAGGCUAGGAAAGCCAGAAGGCAUCUCGAUCUGUGACCAUCAUGGCUUUUUGCCUCUCUGUGGUGCUAUGGAAGAAAGGGGGAUGUAUCCUCCUUACACAGCGAUUUUCACCACAAUAAAACCCCAAGCAGGAAGGAGGUAAAAUGAUCGGCCUGGGACUGAGUUAACAGCUUGCUUCCUGCUCCCCUCAGAAAACACUGGGGCUGCACGGUCUGUCACCUCGCCGCCUGACUUUCUGUGCAUGGUUUGCAUGUCAGAGCACUCCUGCGGGUCACCCAGGUAGCAGAUUCUCAGCGGAGUCCAGUAGACAACAUCCCGACUUCCUAAGCAUCCUUUCCCAUGGUCACAUCUGCUUAUAGCAAGCUGGAGUGCCUCUCUGGCGUAGCUGGGGAAGUGUCCGACACUGCAGCUAGUUCACCAUUUCUAUUGCCUUGUCUUGAAGACUCUGAUCAACCUGUCAGUUAAACUCCAGAGAGUGCUGGCAAGUGUGGCCCGGGGACAGUAUUGGAACAAAGCCAGAGUCUUGGGACCCAGUCCUUUCCCGCCUGCCUCCAAAAGAAAAGACUCAUUGAAGCCAGCAAUACUUACCUCUGUGUAACACCCACGUUGAUGGGAACCACUGAGAGAUAGAGCAACUUGCCAAAAAAAUAAAAAUAAAAAGAUUAGAGAUCUGUGGUAGCUGAAGAAGUCCCCAAGUUCGAGGCAGUAAUCAAUGUUGCAGUUAAAAAGUUCUUCCUCAAAGAGCAAGUCAUAGAUAUGUAAACAUGUGCCCAACGAGAAUAUAUUGGAACGGAAAUCUUUCCUAUAAAGCCCUCACACAUUGCUUCAGUCUAUUAUUAGUGUUUUUUCCCCCAAUGCCAAAAAUAAAUCAAAUUAUUUUCUUUGGCCGUUGAAUUGUUGCAAAAUUGUAAAGCAAAUAUUCUAAUUUGAUCACUUACAAACUCAUAAAAUUAAAUGGUUGUUUGUAGUGGGAAAUAUGUCCUUAUUAUUUUAAUUAAAGCAAGAUUGGACGCUACAUCCAUCCAUCUAGGAACCACCAAAUUCAUUGCCUCUCUUACAAAUCAACUUUUAAAUGGGGUCAUGCCUUUCCACGACAUUAGUUUGUGUUCCACUGCAUAAAUCCCGACUACACGUGAGCUUGACCUUUGGUGAAAAUUAUGUACUCAAGCUCAGCAUAAGUGCUUACUCGAUUUGCUAGAAUUUUAGAAAAGACCUUUAAAGUCCACACAGGAUUUUGAAUACAAAAGAAUCUUUUUACAUCUUUCUACAGCUUAUACUAGCUGCUUUUGAUUGAGGUGCAUUUCUGGCUUUAGCGAUCACCACAUUGAUCUUCUCCUAAAUCAUAUGACACUCAUAAUUAGUCGUUUAUAUGGAGUGCCUUUAAAGUGUAGCAUCUGCUCUAUUAACAAGAUUUGGUAAGGAGUUUGCUAAAGGUUUAAACUCUAUUGAUGACAAGGAUUUACAAAUUUGAAUUGACAAAAUUUUUUCAGCAAUAUAGUUUUAUAGAGUUAACCAAAAAGUCCUCCACAUAAAGGAACUUCAGUUUUUCAAGGCACAGUUUACAAUCUAUCUCAUGGGCACAAUAGUAACUUGCCAGACAUAGGAUAAAAUUUUUUUUCACAGAAUUAAGAUUUUAACUAUGUUCACUCCUGUUGCUUCAAGGGGAAAAAAAUCUUAAGGCUUAUAUUAAUAAACUUACUAAAAAUUUUUUAUUUUGCCUCUCCCCUUCUUCCCAUAUACUUAUUCCUAUAGUCUUUUACUAGAAAUGUUUGAAAAAAAAAUUAUAUAUUACUACAAGCCUAGAAUUUUAUUCUAUUAACUACUAUUAACUAUUUUAACUUACUUUAAUUUCCCUAUAAAUAUUAUUUUAAAAAACAGAAACAAAAUAUGUAAAGUUAGUGGGAAAAGAUAAAAAAAAGUUUAGGAAACAAAAAUCAACAAAAUAAACCAAUAAAACCUGGAAAAUGUACCAGUGAUUCAAAAUUUGGAAAAAGUUGCUGUUAAAUGGACACUUUUGGAUACUAAUUGCUUCUUAUAUCAAAUGCCUAAAAUGUUUUAUUAAAGGAAUUCCUGUUGUACAAGUUUUUUUUUUAAUUUUGUUGAUAAAAAUUUGAAGACUCAAGUAGUCUGUGUGUGUGUGUGUGUGUGUGUGUGUGUGUGUGUGUGUUUCUUAACUUCUCAAACAUAAGAGUUCAUCUGGUAGUGGGGAAACAAUCUCUGUUUGUUCCUCUCUGCUCAGGAGGACUGUUUCUAAUUGAUCUGGCAUGGAAUUUAGUUGGAGAUGUGUAUGUUGCAACCUAAGCACAGUCUCUGUAUGCUUUGUAAAGUGAUAACCAUAUGGGCCUUAUUUGAAACAUUUGAGGAUUUUAGCUAUUUAACCUGGGUUAAAUUGAGCCAUAAAUUCAACUCCAAUGUAUAUGUCCUGACAAAUUUGUCAUUGUUUUGAAUAAGUUGCAUCCAUACUUCUUCUCUCAUAUUAAUAUAAAGAUGAUGGCUGCAUAUGGCAUAUGGAAUAACUUGAUAAAAGACUGGAAUCCACCACUUUGUACUUUUUAAAUGCAAAUUGUUCAUAUUACACAGGAAUUUUCAGUUGUUAUCACUUUCAAUAAAAUGAAAAUGCUUAAAAAUGACCUAGGUAAAGAAAAGACUAUGUUGUCAAACCUAUUUCCUCUUAUACUAUUUUCAAGUGCACUU